UUAUUACAGUGUUGCAAUAGGUAAAUGCACCUGUGCUUGCACAAAGGUGCAUUUACCUAUUGACAACACGCCCCACAAAUGAGCAUAAAAGCACGACGAAGUCGGGCGAUAUGCGAAUGUGUGGGUUGGAUUGCGGGAGUACGAAGUACGUAGCAAUCCAAGUAAUAA
rfam:Eubacterium sp. CAG:192 genomic scaffold, scf67